rnacentral:rRNA from 1 species
GACGAACGCUGGCGGCGUGCUUAACACAUGCAAGUCGAACGGAAAGGCCUGCUUUCCCUUGUGGAUUGCGGGUACUCGAGUGGCGAACGGGUGAGUAACACGUGAGUGAUCUGCCCCCAACUUGGGUAUAAGCCUGGGAAACUGGGUCUAAUUCCCGAUAGGACUGCAGGGUGGUGCCUGUGGUGGAAAACGAUUUUCUAGUGGUUGGGGAUGAGCUCGCGGCCUAUCAGCUUGUUGGUGGGGUAAUGGCCUACCAAGGCGGCGACGGGUAGCCGGCCUGGGAGGGCGGACGGCCACAGUGGGACUGAGAUACGGCCCAGACUCCUACGGGAGGCAGCAGUGGGGAAUAUUGCACAAUGGGCGGAAGCCUGAUGCAGCGACGCCGCGUGGGGGAUGACGGCCGUCGGGUUGUAAACUCCUUUCGACCGCGAGGAAGCCACCUGGUUGGAAGGGUGGUGACGGUAGUGGUAGAAGAAGCACCGGCUAACUACGUG